rnacentral:rRNA from 1 species
GACGAACGCUGGCGGCGUGCUUAACACAUGCAAGUCGAACGGAAAGGCCCUGCUUUUGUGGGGUGCUCGAGUGGCGAACGGGUGAGUAACACGUGAGUAACCUGCCCUUGACUUUGGGAUAACUUCAGGAAACUGGGGCUAAUACCGGAUAGGAGCUCCUGCUGCAUGGUGGGGGUUGGAAAGUUUCGGCGGUUGGGGAUGGACUCGCGGCUUAUCAGCUUGUUGGUGGGGUAGUGGCUUACCAAGGCUUUGACGGGUAGCCGGCCUGAGAGGGUGACCGGCCACAUUGGGACUGAGAUACGGCCCAGACUCCUACGGGAGGCAGCAGUGGGGAAUAUUGCACAAUGGGCGGAAGCCUGAUGCAGCAACGCCGCGUGCGGGAUGACGGCCUUCGGGUUGUAAACCGCUUUCGCCUGUGACGAAGCGUGAGUGACGGUAAUGGGUAAAGAAGCACCGGCUAACUACGUGCCAGCAGCCGCGGUGAUACGUAGGGUGCGAGCGUUGUCCGGAUUUAUUGGGCGUAAAGGGCUCGUAGGUGGUUGAUCGCGUCGGAAGUGUAAUCUUGGGGCUUAACCCUGAGCGUGCUUUCGAUACGGGUUGACUUGAGGAAGGUAGGGGAGAAUGGAAUUCCUGGUGGAGCGGUGGAAUGCGCAGAUAUCAGGAGGAACACCAGUGGCGAAGGCGGUUCUCUGGGCCUUUCCUGACGCUGAGGAGCGAAAGCGUGGGGAGCGAACAGGCUUAGAUACCCUGGUAGUCCACGCUGUAAACGGUGGGUACUAGGUGUGGGGUCCAUUCCACGGGUUCCGUGCCGUAGCUAACGCUUUAAGUACCCCGCCUGGGGAGUACGGCCGCAAGGCUAAAACUCAAAGGAAUUGACGGGGCCCCGCACAAGCGGCGGAGCAUGCGGAUUAAUUCGAUGCAACGCGUAGAACCUUACCUGGGUUUGACAUGGAUCGGGAGCGCUCAGAGAUGGGUGUGCCUCUUUUGGGGUCGGUUCACAGGUGGUGCAUGGCUGUCGUCAGCUCGUGUCGUGAGAUGUUGGGUUAAGUCCCGCAACGAGCGCAACCCUUGUUCACUGUUGCCAGCACGUUAUGGUGGGGACUCAGUGGAGACCGCCGGGGUCAACUCGGAGGAAGGUGGGGAUGACGUCAAGUCAUCAUGCCCCUUAUGUCCAGGGCUUCACGCAUGCUACAAUGGCUGGUACAGAGAGUGGCGAGCCUGUGAGGGUGAGCGAAUCUCGGAAAACCGGUCUCAGUUCGGAUUGGGGUCUGCAACUCGACCUCAUGAAGUCGGAGUCGCUAGUAAUCGCAGAUCAGCAACGCUGCGGUGAAUACGUUCCCGGG